CCGGAUGGCGACCGGCGCACGGGUGAGUAACACGUAUCCAACCUGCCGAUGACUCGGGGAUAGCCUUUCGAAAGAAAGAUUAAUACCCGAUGGCAUAGUUCUUCCGCAUGGUAGAACUAUUAAAGAAUUUCGGUCAUCGAUGGGGAUGCGUUCCACUAGGUUGUUGGCGGGGUAACGGCCCACCAAGCCUUCGAUGGAUAGGGGUUCUGAGAGGAAGGUCCCCCACAUUGGAACUGAGACACGGUCCAA
rnacentral:rRNA from 1 species